ACUACGGGAGGCAGCAGUGGGGGAUAUUGCACAAUGGGGGAAACCCUGAUGCAGCGACGCCGCGUGAGUGAAGAAGUAGUUCGGUAGGUAAAGCUCUAUCAGCAGGGAAGAAAAUGACAGUACCUGACCAAGAAGCCCCGGCUAACUACGUGCCAGCAGCCGCGGUAAUACGUAGGGGGCAAGCGUUAUCCGGAUUGACUGGGUGUAAAGGGAGCGUAGGCGGUUAUGGAAGUAUGGAGUGAAAGACCGGGGCCCAACCCCGGUACUGCUUUGGAAACUGUGUAACUGGAGUACAGGAGGGGCAGGCGGAAUUCCUGGUGUAGCGGUGAAAUGCGUAGAUAUCAGGAGGAACACCGGCGGCGAAGGCGGCCUGCUGGACUGAAACUGACGUUGAGGCUCGAAAGCGUGGGGAGCAAACAGGAUUAGAUACCCCUGUAGUC
rnacentral:rRNA from 1 species